rnacentral:rRNA from 1 species
UACAGAGGGGGCAAGCGUUGUUCGGAAUUACUGGGCGUAAAGCGCGUGUAGGCUGCUUGGAAAGUCGGGUGUGAAAGCCCUGGGCUCAACCCAGGAAGUGCACUCGAAACUUCCGAGCUCGAGUUCUGGAGAGGAUAGCGGAAUUCUCGGUGUAGAGGUGAAAUUCGUAGAUAUCGAGAGGAACACCGGUGGCGAAGGCGGCUAUCUGGACAGAAACUGACGCUGAGACGCGAAAGCGUGGGGAGCAAACAGG